rnacentral:rRNA from 1 species
AUACGUAGGGUGCAAGCGUUAAUCGGAAUUACUGGGCGUAAAGCGUGCGCAGGCGGUUUUGUAAGACAGAGGUGAAAUCCCCGGGCUCAACCUGGGAACUGCCUUUGUGACUGCAAGGCUAGAGUACGGCAGAGGGGGAUGGAAUUCCGCGCGUAGCAGUGAAAUGCGGAGAUAUGCGGAGGAACACCGCUGGCGAAGGCAAUCCACUGGGCCUGUAGUGACGCUUAUGCACGAAAUCGUGGGGAGCAUACGGGAUUAGAUACCCUUGUAGUCCACGCCCUAAACGAUGUCAACUGGUUGUUGGGUCUUCAUUGACUCAGUAACGAAGCUAACGCGUGAAGUUGACCGCCUGGGGAGUACGGCCGCAAGGUUGAAACUCAAAGGAAUUGACGGGG